AGAGUUUGAUCCUGGCUCAGAACGAACGCUGGCGGCAUGCCUAACACAUGCAAGUCGAACGCUCUUGGGGGUUUCGGCCCUCGGGGGAGUGGCGCACGGGUGAGUAGCGCGUGGGAACCUGCCCCUUUGUGGGGGAUAACCGAGGGAAACUUCGGCUAAUACCGCAUGCGCCGGGAGCAAUCCCGGGAAAGAUUUAUCGCAGAGGGAGGGGCCCGCGUCGGAUUAGCUAGUUGGUGGGGUAACGGCCUACCAAGGCUCCGAUCCGUAGCUGGUCUGAGAGGAUGAUCAGCCACACUGGGACUGAGACACGGCCCAGACUCCUACGGGAGGCAGCAGUGGGGAAUAUUGGACAAUGGGCGCAAGCCUGAUCCAGCAAUGCCGCGUGAGUGAUGAAGGCCUUCGGGUUGUAAAGCUCUUUCGCCCGCGACGAUGAUGACGGUAGCGGGAGAAGAAGCCCCGGCUAACUUCGUGCCAGCAGCCGCGGUAAUACGAAGGGGGCGAGCGUUGUUCGGAUUUACUGGGCGUAAAGGGCGCGUAGGCGGCGGACCAAGUCGAGUGUGAAAGCCCCGGGCUCAACCUGGGAGGUGCGCUCGAGACGGGCCCGCUGGAGUUCGGGAGAGGAGCGUGGAAUUCCCAGUGUAGAGGUGAAAUUCGUAGAUAUUGGGAAGAACACCGGUGGCGAAGGCGGCGCUCUGGACCGAGACUGACGCUGAGGCGCGAAAGCGUGGGGAGCAAACAGGAUUAGAUACCCCCGUAGUCC
rnacentral:rRNA from 1 species